rnacentral:rRNA from 1 species
ACGCUGGCGGCGUGCCUAACACAUGCAAGUCGAGCGGUAACAGGUGUAGCAAUACAUGCUGACGAGCGGCGAACGGGUGAGUAAUGCUUCGGAAUCUGCCCAAUGGUGGGGAAUAACCAGCCGAAAGGUUGGCUAAUACCGCAUAAGUCCUACGGGGGAAAGCAGGGGGUCGCAAGACCUUGCGCCGAUGGAUGAGCCGAAGUCGGAUUAGCUAGUUGGUAGGGUAACGGCCUACCAAGGCGACGAUCCGUAGCUGGUCUGAGAGGACGACCAGCCACACUGGGACUGAGACACGGCCCAGACUCCUACGGGAGGCAGCAGUGGGGAAUAUUGGACAAUGGGGGAAACCCUGAUCCAGCGACGCCGCGUGUGUGACGAAGGCCUGCGGGUUGUAAAGCACUUUUAGUGGGGAUGAAAAGCUCAGGGCUAACACCUCUGGGUCUUGACCUAACCCANAGAAAAAGCACCGGCUAACUCUGUGCCAGCAGCCGCGGUAAUACAGAGGGUGCGAGCGUUAAUCGGAAUUACUGGGCGUAAAGCGUGCGUA